CUUGGUCAUUUAGAGGAAGUAAAAGUCGUAACAAGGUUUCCGUAGGUGAACCUGCGGAAGGAUCAUUAAAGAAUCGCCCCGUUUUUUGAAAUGGGUUCUAUUCCCAAACCGUGUAUAUAUACCUUUGUUGCUUCGGCAGGCCGCCUUCUAGGCGUCGGCUCCGGCUGACUGCGCCUGCCAGAGGACCCAAACUCAUUUGUUUAGUGAUGUCUGAGUACCAUAUAAUAGUUAAAACUUUCAACAACGGAUCUCUUGGUUCUGGCAUCGAUGAAGAACGCAGCGAAAUGCGAUAAGUAAUGUGAAUUGCAGAAUUCAGUGAAUCAUCGAAUCUUUGAACGCACAUUGCGCCCCUUGGUAUUCCGAGGGGCAUGCCUGUUCGAGCGUCAUUAUAACCACUCAAGCCUCGGCUUGGUCUUGGGGUUCGCGGUCUCGCGGCCCUUAAAAUCAGUGGCGGUGCCGUCUAGCUCUAAGCGUAGUAAUUCUCUCGCUAUAGGGCUCCGGUAGUUGCUUGCCAAAACCCCCCUAUUUCUCACGGUUGACCUCGGAUCAGGUAGGGAUACCCGCUGAACUUAAGCAUAUCAAUAAGCGGAGGA
rnacentral:rRNA from 1 species